AGUCACAUGUCUGGAAGUGAACAUGUGUUUGUUUUUUUCCCGCCUAUGGAAGGUUAACCAGUGUAGAAACUCCUCGCUGAGUAGCCCGGGACUGGCAAGGCAUGAAAUCUUAAUCUCGGCUUGUGUAGGGAAUCUGAGAUGGGAAUAAAUGAAACACCUUUUCCGGCUUUAUUAGCGGAUCGGAAUUUCUUCACGGAUCUUUAUUUCUUCGUUGUCUUUUUCAACGGUAAUUCCUGACCCAUGCGUGCUGUUGCUACUCAUGAUGCAAUUGUGAUAAUGAUGAUGAUGAUGAUGAUGAUGAUGAUGAUUAUAAUAGUGAUGUUUGUGCAGUGUCCCAUGAAGCAGAGCAGCAGUUAAGAAAGUAAAAAAAAAUUAAAAAUCUGGUAUGUUCAAUGUGUGGCUGUGUGUGAGCAUCCUACCAGCUGAUGAUCCGGUGCUUGUGUCAGUAUCACCCUGAAUCACACCUCUCACAGACCACCCACGCUUAAAGAGUCGCACACAUACACACACACACACACACACACACACACACACACACACACGAUGGCCUCGAGAGAAUCUACAGCACAGUGAGGGUCAGUUAACACUGUCAAGUAAAACUAGUCCAAUGAUGGCAUGUCAGCCAUGCGAAGUGUCAUGCUGAGGGGAAAAAAGUGAAAACUGGAAUUAAAAGCAGAAUGUGGGAGACGGAGGACGUAUGCGUGUGUGAAAGUGUAUCCAUCUGUCCAUCACACAUUCACAAAUACGCACUGUAUCUAAAAGCCAGAAGUGGUCAUAAAUGCUAGGUAUGCAUGUAAGGAGGAGAGGGGAGACAAGGAGAAGAAGUGAGGAGGGGAGACACAAGAAGAAGAAAGAAAAGGAGAGAAGAGGAGAGGAGAGACAAGACAAGGAGAGGAGAGGAUAUGAGUGACAAGGAAAGGAGAGGAGAGACAAGACAAGGCAAGGGCAGGAGAGGAUAUGAGUGACAAGGAGAGGAGAGACAAGACAAGGAGAGGAGAGGAGAGACAAGACAAGGACAGGA
ensembl:lncRNA